rnacentral:rRNA from 1 species
GAUGACCGCUGCCGGCGUUCCCUAUACAUGCACGUCGAGCGAACGGACACGAAGCUUGCUUCUCUGUUGUUAGCUGCGGACGGGUGAGUAACUCUUGGUUACCCUACCUAUAAGCCUGAGAUAUCUUCGUGAAACCUCAGCUACUCCCGGCUACUAUUUUGCACCGCAUUGUUCAAAGGUGAAAGACGGUCUUGCUGUCACUUAUAGAUGGAUCCGCGCUUCAUUAGCUAGUUGGUAAGGUAACGGCUUACCAAGGCAACGAUGCAUAGCCGACCUGAGAGGGUGAUCGGCCACACUGGAACUGAGACACGGUCCAGACUCCUACGGGAGGCCGCAGUAGGGAAUCGUCCGCAAUGGGCGAAAGCCUGACGGAGCAACGCCGCGUGAGUGAUGAAGGUCUUCGGAUCGUAAAACUCUGUUAUUAGGGAAGAACAUAUGUGUAAGUAACUGUGCACAUCUUGACGGUACCUAAUCAGAAAGCCACGGCUAACUACGUG